GAUUGGAAAACGAAUCUCUAUCACAGGAUAGUGGUUAAGAAGAUAAGCACAUGCAACCAGUUAGUCAAUCCAUCUUUCUAUCGAUCAAUAAUCACAAUGUUCCAAAAUUCAUGUCCAUCUACUUUAGGACAAUCCCUCCAUUUAAAAAUAAGUUACCGUUCAUUAAUUGAAUAUUUCAUCUAUGUUUCUCUCUAUAAAAGCGGGCGAUAUCUUGCCAAAGAAAACAUAAGCAGGCUCUACUCCCUUUUGAGGGUAGAAUUUGAUUGUAGGGUUGCUGUUUAACUAUGAAAGUGUCUCUCUCAUUUGCACAUCUAAAAGGAGGAUUAAGAGGGAAAGAAAACAGUAAAGAAGAAGAGAUUCAUCAUCAAAGAUGCAAAAACUAGCUGUCCGGUGAGUGAGCUCCAUGCUAUGCUUGUCAAGAGAUCAGUGUUUUUGCUUUAUUAACCUUUUUCUCGUUGUCUGUUCGACCUUGAAUAUGUAUAUAUGUGGUCGAGACAUCCUGGAAAACCCUAGCCCUUAUAGCUAAUUAUCUUUUUCUAUAAGAGAUUAUAUAAUUAAUAAGGAGAAAAACCAUCAGGGGUAGAGUUCUAAGGCUAUGAAAAAAUCCCACCUAAACAUUAAUACAAGACAGAAUUACAGGAGGGAAUAACAUAAAACACCAAUCUGCAGAAAUAGCAACACUAUGCUAGUAUUGUAAUUAUUACUGAUCAAUGAGUCUUUGAUUAUUUUGAAUUCUAAUCUUGAUUGGAAUUCCUUAAUUUACAUAAGAUAAUGAUCGAUGAUUUGAGGAAAGACAUUAAGCAUAUUACUACUCUCUAUGCUUGUCUAGCUUUGGAUUCAUUGAUAAUAUUAGUGCAUAUAACAUAUACAUGUAUAUAUACACAUAACAUCUCAGAAAACUUUGUUUCUUAGUUCAAUAUAAUUUUGGUAUACUCAAAAUUCAUAGAAUAUUAACAUUGAUAUUUUAAUUUAGUAUCAUACCCCUAAAUAAUUAAGAUUGUAUGGGCUUUUAUAAGUCUUACAGAUCUAAAGCUAUUCUUUUCAAUUCUUGACUAACUAUUCUUCUUUCCGUCAUUUUUGUUUCUCUAGUUUAAAUUUUUGAUGUUUUUGAAUUGCUUAGCUUUUAAUUCCCUCCUGUGAGAAACAACUUGAACUUUGAAGUGUGUUUCAGAAUUUGAUUGGAUUAUAGCAUAUUAAGAUGGAGCAUCUACUAAAUAUAUGUCUAAAGGUACUAUUUGAGAUUUUAGUACCUUAGAAUUCACCUCUGCUUUUUAUGUAUCAGGAAAAAAAUAUAUAUUUGUUGUAAUCUUAUUAAUGAUAAUAUUGUACCGAGUAUAUUGGUACUCUCCCAUUGCAUGCUUACAGCCGUUGAAAUUAGAACUUCCAAACUGAAUUUUCAAAAAAUAUAUCAUCUUGUUUCCUGAAAUUGUGAUUGGUUUUUGCUUCUGUCUAACUGGGACAACCUUAUAUAUAUAAAAUCUGGGCCAACUCCAAAAACAAGAUAUCUGUCUGCCUAUAUACUAAAUUACCAAUCGGAUACAUAAAUUUAUCCCUAUCUGUUGACAAAAGACAUUCUUCAAAUCCUUGACCGUAAGAUAUAAUGUAAUUACUUUUGAAUAUGUGCAUGAGGUAGGUAGACAGUUACUGGCCCAGGAUAUUUCUUUGGUUUGCAGAAAUCGAGUAAACUGAUUCUGGGUGCUGCUGCAUUUAAAUUCUGUAGCCACCAUUUGUUGUCUGUGGUCUCCAUGCAAUUGCAAACCUAGUUAGCCUUUCUCUCUCUCUCUCUCUCUCUUGACCAACCAAAGGAGGAAACAACAGAAGGUUGAAGGGAUAAAAUUGAACCACAGGCAUAAUGGUAAGUUCAACACCUAAAGGCCAUAGUGGAAAAUUUGGGGUCAACUCCUGUUUGCUCCCCCAAGUGAUAGGAGCUAGUUUAGUCGGUAAGAGUAAAUAUAUAAACUAACAUAGAAAAGUUCUUUUAUUUUCUUAAAUUUUUAAUUUAUGAAAGAUAUACUAGUAUUAGGAGAUACAAAUUGUUUUGCGCUCUUUCGAGUACCUGAAUUACCCUUUAGAUGACCUGUAAUGUUGAAAAUGUUUUACUAAAUGAAAUACUAUAGACCAUAGAGGAUAAUAUUCCACCACAUUGUCUAUUUUCAAUACGUACAUUUGUUAGGGUUCUACCUUUGAGCAUGUGAAACAUGUUGCAUAUAUUUAUUAGAUAAUAAUAAAUUAAAAUUCUCAGUGAAUCAUUUGAAUAUUUAUGCUUUAUAUAUUUAUACAAGGAGCAAGAUCUUCAUUAAAAUAGUUGUUUAUUUCUAAAUUUGGACUAGAUUAUGAGAUUACAAAUUGACGCCAUAGUCAAAACAAAUAAAAUUAAAAAAAAAAAUUAAGAACACGAUCUUAUAUUAUUUAGAAGUGAGAAAUACCGUUACUGAACAAUUUGGACAAAGAUACGAGAAAGACAGUGCUAAUUUAAGGUCGGAUAGGCAGCGAAACUGAGGUAUAAGCUAAGAGACUGGUCGUUUGACAAGCAAAUCGCGUGGAACUCGACGCCCAACUGCUCAUUCUUUUGUUCUUCCGUGGUACAUCAUCUGAACUUUCGACAAAAAGAAGCAGAGAGGAAUCCAGUCAAAAGGGUUAAGGUGUGGAUGGCGUUUCUGCCCUGGCGGUGGAGGUAUGUAUGCUCUGCCCCGAUCCUUUUUUACCGUUUGUGACGGCCACAUAUUCACUGUUAAUCGGCAUUUUGGUUGAUCAGAGAAGCACUGCAAGCUCAAAUUGUUAGUCCUACAAUUCUUAUUUUCAACUUACCUCCGUUUGCGAGGAUAUAUACAUAUAUACCUAUGUAUAUAUAUAUAUUUUGUCAUUGUCUCCGGCGGGAGUUUAUGUCUGUAUUUGGAACUUAUUCGAUGUAUUAAUGAUAGGUUUAUACUUAAUACCAUUUACAAUUGUGAUAUUUCGUCUUGA